CAUGGGCUGACGAACCUGAGAUU
rnacentral:miRNA from 1 species